rnacentral:rRNA from 1 species
GUCCUUUAGAAUAUAUAAUUUAAGGUCUAACCUGCCCAUUGAAAAAUUUAAAAGGCCGCAGUAAUUUGACUGUGCAAAGGUAGCAUAAUCAUUAGUUUUUUAAUUAAAAGCUUGAAUGAAUGGUUGGACGAGAUAAAGUCUGUCUCAUAAUAAAUUUUAGAAUUUAAUUUUUAGGUUAAAAAGCUUAAAUAAAUUUAAAAGACGAGAAGACCCUAUAGAUUUUUAUAUAAUUUGUUAAUAAUAUUGAUCAGGUUUAUUUUAUUUAUUAUUAAAAAUUUUAUUUUAUUGGGGUAAUAAAAAGAUUUAAAGAAUUCUUUUUUUUAUAAUAUUUUUAUAUAGUUUAUUGAUCCAUUAAUAUUGAUAAUAAGAUUAAGUUACCUUAGGGAUAACAGCGUAAUUUUUUUGGAGAGUUCUUAUCGAUAAAAAAGUUUGCGACCUCGAUGUUGGAUUAAAAUUAAUUUUAGGUGUAGAAGCUUGAAAUUUGGGUCUGUUCGACCUUUAAAUUUUUACA